GGCGCCGUGGUGUAGUGGUCAUCACACCGGCUUGUCAGGUCGGGAACAUGGGUUCGAAUCCCAUCGGCGUCG
rnacentral:tRNA from 1 species